rnacentral:lncRNA from 1 species
AUUUGUCACACAGAUAUUUAAAUGGAAUCAGGGCUGUAUAUAACCAUGACAUAAUACUUUGUCAAAAAGUGAAAAGUUAAUCUGGUUGAGGGUAUUUUUACCUGGGAUAUGGAGAAGAUGAUGACAAUAAUGUAGAACUUGAUUAGACAUCAACAGAGACUCAAUGCCUCCUGGAAAACACCUGAGAAAUGAUUGAAGCUCGCUCUGGUCUUGCCUGGAAUCAUGCAUAACAUUUGUUGCUGCUUGCAUGUGGAUUCAUUUUAGCAGUUUAUCAAUUUGGACAGG